UCCGAGUUGACCCCGGCAGUCUCCUAUGAGUCCCCGGCAUAACCCGCUGGCAACAUAGAACGAGGGUUGCGCUCGUUGCGGGACUUAACCCAACAUCUCACGACACGAGCUGACGACAACCAUGCACCACCUGCGAACCGGCCCCAAAGGGGAAACCACAUUUCUGCGGCGGUCCGGUCCAUGUCAAGCCUUGGUAAGGUUCUUCGCGUUGCAUCGAAUUAAUCCGCAUGCUCCGCCGCUUGUGCGGGCCCCCGUCAAUUCCUUUGAGUUUUAGCCUUGCGGCCGUACUCCCCAGGCGAGGUGCUUAAUGCGUUAGCUUCGGCACAGAGCGGGUCAAACGCCGCCCCACACCUAGCACCCAACGUUUACGGCUAGGACUAC
rnacentral:misc_RNA from 1 species